UAGAGUUGGAGAAUGAAUGAGUUGGAGGACCAAGAGUACAGCUACAAAAGAGACUUAUCUGAAGGAUCUCUUGUUCCUUCACACCACACCCAUGACAGUCCUAGAAUGGCAAAUCUCAUUAGUCACGGGAUGCAUUCAGUACCGGGUUACUCCAGGAUGGAGGACGACUACACCACUUACAGGAUUCUUCCACAGCUAACAUGUGAUCCUGUGCCUCCAGUAGCCCACUUUAGUUUAGCGUCCUAUCCUGAAUACUUACUGGCUCAAUCUAGCCAUUAUCAGCAUGUACUAGGCCAACCGUACAGCUCCUGGCCAUCCCAGGAGGCUUUUCAUUAUGGCAUGUCAUCAGGAGAGAUCUGUCGAGCGGUCACCAGUAUCAGCUCUGAUGGUGCAGAUGUUUACAGUCUGGAGGGGUAUUCUACAGAUCAAGGAUUCAGACAUCACGAUGUAAUGUGCAGCCUGAAGAAGUUUGUGUCAUGUAUGUGAAGCUUGUUUUGAAGGGACUUAAUGGAUUCUUCAUAUAUAAUUUUCAGAGAAAUCAGCCUCAUGCUCUUCAUGUGCCACCUCAUGACCAGAAGCACCCAGCUGAGACGUCCAAUAUUUGUCAGAUGUUACAGCCGGUGCAGAUUGUGUGUGAUGUGACCGGUGGAGGGCAGGUGGUCGUGCUGAACCAUUGCAGUCCCGAUCAGAUUCCUCACUCUCUGAUGAUGGAUCUCAACACAGUGUCUCAGCCAAAGACAUCUGAGCAGAGCUGCUCUACUGAGGACCACUCACCCACCGAAAAAGGUUAAAGGAUUAUACUUGAAAACACUUGGAACGAUUACAAAAUGUAGACCCUUAAGGUCAUUUAAUGAAUUUUUUAUUCAUGCAUUUUUAGUUUAGUUUAUUUUUUCCCCCUGAGGUCUGUGUAU